rnacentral:sRNA from 1 species
UACCGACAGGGUUGGGUUUACAGUAAGA